AGUGAACGCUGGCGGUAAGCCUAACACAUGCAAGUCGAACGGCAGCACAGUAAGAGCUUGCUCUUACGGGUGGCGAGUGGCGGACGGGUGAGGAAUACAUCGGAAUCUACUUUUUCGUGGGGGAUAACGUAGGGAAACUUACGCUAAUACCGCAUACGACCUACGGGUGAAAGCAGGGGAUCUUCGGACCUUGCGCGAUUGAAUAAGCCGAUGUCGGAUUAGCUAGUUGGCGGGGUAAAGGCCCACCAAGGCGACGAUCCGUAGCUGGUCUGAGAGGAUGAUCAGCCACACUGGAACUGAGACACGGUCCAGACUCCUACGGGAGGCAGCAGUGGGGAAUAUUGGACAAUGGGCGCAAGCCUGAUCCAGCCAUACCGCGUGGGUGAAGAAGGCCUUCGGGUUGUAAAGCCCUUUUGUUGGGAAAGAAAAGCAGCAGGUUAAUACCCCGCUGUUCUGACGGUACCCAAAGAAUAAGCACCGGCUAACUUCGUG
rnacentral:rRNA from 1 species